rnacentral:misc_RNA from 1 species
GGAAGGAUCAUUAACGAGAAGCGCUGUCCCCCUCCCCCUCUGGGCGAGGGAAGGCACCCACUCCAAACCCCUCUGUCUACGAUACCGCGUUGCUUUGGCGAGCCCGCCCCUCUGGGGCCGCUGGCACAAGCUGGUCCGCGCUCGCCAGAGGACACAAAGACCCACGUCAUUGUGAUGUCUGAGCACUUGUCAAGAAAAUAAGCCAAAACUUUCAACAACGGAUCUCUUGGUUCUGGCAUCGAUGAAGAACGCAGCGAAAUGCGAUAAGUAAUGUGAAUUGCAGAAUUCAGUGAAUCAUCGAAUCUUUGAACGCACAUUGCACCCUCUGGUAUUCCUGGGGGUAUGCCUGUCCGAGCGUCAUUACAACCCUCAAGCUCUGCUUGGUGUUGGGCGUCGCCCCGACCUUGUGUCGGGGCGUGCCUAAAAGCCAUUGGUAGUUGUCUGGAUCCCGAGCAAAGCAUCUCACUCUGCCUGGAAUCUAGCGUGCCAACUUGCCCCAUCCAGGUUGACCUCGGAUCAGGUAGGGACACCCGCUGAACUUAAGCAUAUCAAUAAGCGGAGGAAAAGAAACCAACAGGGAUUGCCUCAGUAACGGCGAGUGAAGCGGCAACAGCUCAAAUUUGAAAUCUGGCUCUUCUGGAGCCCGAGUUGUAAUUUGUAGAGGAUGCUUCGGGCGAGGUCCGGCCUAAGUCCCUUGGGACAGGGCGUCACAGAGGGUGAGAACCCCGUAUGCGGUCGGGCACCUCAGUCCAUGUGAAGCUCCCUCGACGAGUCGAGUUGUUUGGGAUUGCAGCUCAAAAUGGGUGGUAAGUUUCAUCUAAAGCUAAAUACUGGCCAGAGACCGAUAGCGCACAAGUAGAGUGAUCGAAAGAUGAAAAGCACUUUGGAAAGAGAGUUAAAAGUACGUGAAAUUGUUGAAAGGGAAGCGCUUGCAACCAGACUUGGGCGUGGCCGAUCAGCUGGUGUUCUCACCGGUGCACUCGGCCGCGCGCAGGCCAGCAUCGGUUCUGGCGGCCGGACAAAGGCCAGGCGAAUGUGGCUCCCUUUGGGGAGUGUUAUAGCGCCUGGUGCCAUGUGGCCUGCCGGGACCGAGGACCGCGCUUCUGGCUAGGAUGCUGGCGUAAUGGUUGUAAGCGACCCGUCUUGAAACACGGACCAAGGAGUGGAAUAACUAUGCGAGUGUUUGGGUGUCAAACCCGUGCGCGAAAUGAAAGUGAACAGAGGUGAGAGCCCGUCAGGGUGCAUCAUCGACCGAUCCUGAUGUCUAUCGGAUGGAUUUGAGUAAGAGCAUAGCUGUUCCGACCCGAAAGAUGGUGAACUAUGCGUGGAUAGGGUGAAGCCAGAGGAAACUCUGGUGGAGGCUCGCAGCGGUUCUGACGUGCAAAUCGAUCGUCAAAUCUGUGCAUAGGGGCGAAAGACUAAUCGAACCAUCUAGUAGCUGGUUCCUGC